rnacentral:lncRNA from 1 species
NGCUGAUCCUCCAAUGACGACAGUGUAAGGUAAAGCCUAAUAAAUUAGCAUCUUCAUAACAAGAAUCUGUCUUUCUUCCUCUAUAAUGGCGCAGCAUUCAUUCGCAGGCAAGCAGGGGAAAGCAGGAAAAGGGGGACUAGACGCCACCGGCAGUAAGUGGCCAUCAUGCAGGUGCAUACACUGACAUUAUGCCUUGUCAUUUUACAUUCCAAGGACACGAGCAGGAGAAUCGCAAGGAAUAGGACAAGCGCAAGGAUGGUGGUAAGGAUAUGAACAAGAGUCGGGCUCAAACGGCACGUGGCAGGCCACGAAGCGGCCGUUCGGAGGUAUGAAGCCUCUGGUUGCAAGACCAUGGCUAUUAACUAAAUGCUUUUUAUUGCCUUAUUUCGAGGCACGUUAUGCCGGUGUCACACCUACAGCCGUCAUUGUACGUAACAUGCUCACAACUAUGUGUUCCUGCCUAAACAAUGAUUUGCUGUGAUCCUUUCAUAUGCAGAUAUAUGCCGUCGUUCGUGAAGAUGACAUCAGCGGAGGCGAGGAUUGAGCGCUUUAAUAAGAAGACAAUAGUGGAUGUAUUGUGGUACAUUUACAUGCGCUUAACAUUUGUGUGUCGAUUUUUUCUGACGUUAGACUGUUGGACCCUUUUCCAUGGUAAGAGUUGCUGGCUGAGUUGCCUCGGUCAUGUUAGGAUUUGCUAUGAAUUCGUACCUGUCAUUCAGGGAUUGCAUGUUGAUUAAGUGCUCGUCCUGUAGUGUAGUACGGCAAGUGCGG